rnacentral:lncRNA from 1 species
CAGCACUGUGACAGUGACUGAUGAGGAGACCGUUGGGAAGGCGAAGGCCUACAUUCUGUUUUAUGUAGAGCGUCAGGCCAGAGCUGGAGCAGAUAAACUGUGAUACCUCCUGACCAUGAUUCAUCUACUAUACCGGACAACAUUUCCAUUCUCCAUAAAUACUUGAUCCAAGAUUUAAUUUCAGUAUGCACUUUUCAAUUUCCAGUUUGGGGUUUUAGUUUGGUCAGUGGUAGUAACUUACCCAAUAUGGGCACCAACUAAUUUUUGUUGUUCUACCAGAAAACCUCAGCAGGCAUUUUGAUUGGCUGCUUUAGUUGUAAUAAUUCAAUUUUUAUAAGUAGUUUCCAGAACUUAGUUCUGUUUGACUUUUUAUAUUAAUGUUUUCAGUUCUCACGGAGGCACAUUUUAUUGCUCUGUACUCACAUGCUGAGAGCCACCCUGCCUGCUGUCUGCAUAGCAGGCAGGUCAGCGACUCCGUUGUGAGGGUCGUGUGUGCAGGUCUGUGACCCGCCGGUUUCACAGUGACUGCUCAGGAAUCCCUUCUGACUGUAGGCCGUAGUAGCUGAAGGUCAGGAGACCAGGCCAUCACCACUGCCUGUGCCUCAGGGUUGCUGUUUCUCAGCAUUAAAUAAAUUUGUCAGUUCCGUUGCGUCUGUGCUCAAGUUCCAGAAUCGCUCUAUUUCUUGUUUCUGUUCUUCUGUUAAUAUUUUCUUGGGGGCAGGCAGACAGGCAGGCUAGGAACUCUGACAAGUGCAAAUAUGUGUUUAAAAGCCCUGUGAUUCAGCUGCAUGACAGAGGUGUGUCCUGUGUGUGGAUUCUGUCUGACCAUCAGAGGUCAGGUCUCCUCCAGACUUGACUUCCAGGCAGAAGUGGAUCAUUGACACUCUGGGUCUUAACCCACUCCCUGCCUAAAGCAGAACCAGGUAUUAAGUAUUUGUCUCUGAACAAGAAUAGUUUCUAUUAAACCCAGUAGCUUAAAAAAUACUGUUCACAAAAAUAGGGUAGAAGCACUAUUUGGAUUCAACCCAAAUUAAAAUUGGUUCAUUUAAAGAAGGCAGCAGCUAGUAGCAAGUGUGGAGGCCAGUGAUCGAGUUUGCAGGUAUUUGUAACCUGCAAGUCAGAGUGUAGAACUCCAGCAUGGCCUGUACCAUAGUCACUUCCUUGAGGGACAAAAAUGUACUUCAUGCAGACUUUUUAGUAAUCUCAUUUUUUUCUAUUAAAAGUUAGUGUAGUAGUUUUCUUAGGUCACUGUGAGGUUGAUGAGGACACAUGACCUAAUUCCAUUUUAAUAUUAACUAGAGAAAUCUUGCAUUCCCUCAGAGCAGAAAUUACACACUGCAUCAGCACCUUAUUAAAACACUAACUUGAAUCCAUACAAUGACUACAUGUGGUUAAGUUGAAAACUCAUUCAUUCCUCAGUCACACUAGUUAGGUCAGGGAUGGACACAGGAAGGUCUAGUACAUUUCCAUAGGGCAUGAGGUCUCUCACACAACACUGGUCUAAGCACUACAGCUUAGAUUUAGUGCAGGGAGAAAUUGAGGAACUGUGCUACGUUACAUGAGGUAGAGGCUUAUGCACUUCUAUUAGUCUACUGGUUUGACCCACAGAUCGAGGGUCGCAUGAUUUGCUCUAAUAUGUCAGGACCUUGAUACCAUCACAGCUAAGCCUGAAUGUAAGUCUCAUCUAACUUUGCACACAGCUCCUGCUAAUCCAGGCUCCUCUGGCAUUUGUGUCUUGGCCUCUGAAUAGGCACUUGUAAUGACUUACACAAUACUCAGACAGAGCUGACACUGUCACACCAGGUGGGACAGCAGCAGCAGACUGGGCUGCCAUGUUGGGGAGAUUGGUCAUUAGACAGGCAACACUGUUGACACAAAAGGGAAUGAAUGUCUCUGGGAAUUUUUGUAGCAGCUUUAUUGCUUGAUUUUGCUUAAGCAACAAUGGCCGAGUGGCACCAUGAAGACUCUGAGGAAGUGACUGCCCAUUGGCUGUGCCCACGAACACCCAUGAUGUCCAUGUGCCUAUUUGUUUGUAAUCUGUGUAGCCUUACUGCACCUGUUACAAGCGUAUCUCUGUACUGUCUAGGGCUGGCUUUCCCCAUGUGUGCUAACCGGCAUGCAACUUCUUGCUCAGAGCUUAUGCUGAGGCAGGGCCUCAUGCAUGCCCUGUCCCAUCAGCCCCUGGCAACAGGAAACUCCAAGUCUUCCCACACAGGUGGGGAUAGAAACUGUGGCAACAUAAGUCUCUCUCCAUGGUGGAGAAUCCUAUGCUUAUCCACUGUAUUCUACUCAGUGUGUAGUGACAGAUGAUGUAAUUAAACCAGUCACAUGUGCUGGCGCUG